CCAAUAGCGUAUAUUAAAGUUGUUGCAGUUAAAAAGCUCGUAGUUGAAUUUCGGGAUCAGUACGCUGGUCGUGCCUUCGGUAUGUACUGGUGUUACUGGUUCCUACCUUCUGACGAACCGUCAUGUCAUUAAUUUGGUGUGGCGGGGAAUCAGGACUGUUACUUUGAAAAAAUUAGAGUGUUUAAAGCAGGCUCGCGCUUGAAUACAUUAGCAUGGAAUAAUGAAAUAGGACGUUCGAUCCUAUUUUGUUGGUUUCUAGGAUUGACGUAAUGAUUAAUAGGGAUAGUUGGGGGCAUUAGUAUUCAAUUGUCAGAGGUGAAAUUCUUGGAUUUAUUGAAGACUAACUACUGCGAAAGCAUUUGCCAAGGAUGUUUUCAUUAAUCAAGAACGAAAGUUAGGGGAUCGAAGACGAUCAGAUACCGUCGUAGUCUUAACCAUAAACUAUGCCGACUAGGGAUCGGAUGAUGUUAAUUUUUUAAUGACUCAUUCGGCGCCUUACG
rnacentral:rRNA from 1 species